rnacentral:rRNA from 1 species
UACGUAGGGGGCUAGCGUUGUCCGGAAUCAUUGGGCGUAAAGCGCGUGUAGGCGGUCCGGUAAGUCCGCUGUGAAAGUCGGGGGCUCAACCCUCGGAUGCCGGUGGAUACUGUCGGGCUUGAGUACGGAAGAGGCGAGUGGAAUUCCCGGUGUAGCGGUGAAAUGCGCAGAUAUCGGGAAGAACACCCGUGGCGAAGGCGGUUCUCUGGGACGGUACUGACGCUGAGACGCGAAAGCGUGGGGAGCGAACAGG